ensembl:lncRNA
GGACCUGGGUCUGUGUGGUGGGGAAUGGGAUCUGGGUCUGUGUGGGGGGAAUGGGAUCUGGGUCUGUGUGGUGGGGAAUGGGUUCACGGUCUGUGUGGUGGGGAAUGGGUUCACGGUCUGUGUGGUGGGGAAUGGGUUCACGGUCUGUGUGGGGGGAAUGGGAUCUGGGUCUGUGUGGUGGGGAAUGGGUUCACGGUCUGUGUGGUGGGGAAUGGGAUCUGGGUCUGUGUGGUGGGGAAUGGGUUCAAGGUCUGUGUGGUGGGGAAUGGGUUCACAGUCUGUGUGGGGGGGGAAUGGGAUCUGGGUCUGUGUGGGGGGAAUGGGAUCUGGGUCUGUGUGGGGGAAUGGGAUCUGGGUCUGUGUGGUGGGGAAUGGGUUCACGGUCUGUGUGGUGGGGAAUGGGUUCACGGUCUGUGUGUGGGGGGAAUGGGAUCUGGGUCUGUGUGGGGGGAAUGGGAUCAGGGUCUGUGUGGUGGGGAAUGGGUUCAAGGUCUGUGUGGUGGGGAAUGGGUUCACGGUCUGUGUGGGGGG